UACAGAGGGUGCGAGCGUUAAUCGGAAUUACUGGGCGUAAAGCGCGCGUAGGCGGCUUUGCAAGUCGGGUGUGAAAUCCCCAGGCUUAACCUGGGAACUGCAUUCGAGACUGCAUUGCUAGAGUAUGGGAGAGGGAAGUGGAAUUUCCGGUGUAGCGGUGAAAUGUGUAGAUAUCGGAAGGAACAUCAGUGGCGAAAGCGACUUCCUGGACCAAUACUGACGCUCAUGUGCGAAAGCGUGGGGAGCAAACAGG
rnacentral:rRNA from 1 species